GACAUGGCUCAGGACGAACGCUGGCGGCGUGCUUAACACAUGCAAGUCGAACGAAAAGACGGAAAGAGCUUGCUCUUUUCAGAAUUGAGUGGCAAACGGGUGAGUAACACGUAAACAACCUGCCUUCAGGAUGGGGACAACAGACGGAAACGACUGCUAAUACCGAAUAAGUUCCAAGAGCCGCAUGGCCCAUGGAAGAAAAGGUGGCCUCUACCUGUAAGCUAUCGCCUGAAGAGGGGUUUGCGU
rnacentral:rRNA from 1 species